GACAGAGGGGGCAAGCGUUGCUCGGAAUUAUUGGGCGUAAAGGGCGCGUAGGCGGCUCGGCACGUCCGUUGUGAAAUCGCCCGGCUCAACUGGGCGGGGUCAGCGGAUACGGCCGAGCUUGAGCAAGCUAGGGGGCAAUGGAAUUCCCGGUGUAGUGGUGGAAUGCGUAGAUAUCGGGAGGAACACCAGUGGCGAAGGCGGUUGCCUGGAGCUUUGCUGACGCUGAUGCGCGAAAGCGUGGGGAGCGAUCCGG
rnacentral:rRNA from 1 species